AUGAAGCCGUACAGCCUCAGUGUCCUUUACAAAGGCGAUCCAAAAGCGGUGCUGCUCAAGGCCUCAUACGACAUGUCUUCCUUUAGUUUCUUCCAGAGGGCCAGUGUUCAGGAAUUCAUUACCUUUACAAGUCAACUGAUUGUGGAACGCUCGGGGAAAGGCAGCAGAGCUUGUAUCAAAGAACAAGAGUAUCUUUGCCAUGUCUAUGUCUGGAGUGACAGUCUGGCAGGUGUGGUCAUUGCUGACAGUGAAUACCCUUCCAGAGUGGCCUUUACCUUGCUGGAGAAGGUAUUAGAUGAAUUCUCCAAGCAGGUCAAUAGAAUAGACUGGCCAGUAGGAUCCCCUGCUACAAUCCAGUACACAGCCCUGGAUGAGCACCAGAAUCGCCGGGAAGCUGAUCCCAUGAGUAAAGUAUAGGCUGAACUGGACGAGACCAAAAUCAUUCUGCAUAACACCAUGGAGUCUUUGUUAGAGCGAGGCGAGAAGCUUGAUGACCUGGUAUCCAAGUCAGAAGUGCUGGGAACACAGUCGAAAGCCUUCUAUAAAACUGCCCGGAAACAAAACUCUUGCUGUGCAAUCAUGUGACGUAGCCCACGGAGGCAGGCCCUGGAUCCUCAUGUCACAUCAGCCCCUGGAGACAAGCAGUGUCUAGAAGAGGAUCUGGAGCCAGGCAGACUGGCUGCUUUUAUUUUGAAGUUCCCAAGAGGAAUGGAGGGAUGAUUUAAGGGUGGGAACAUUGACGUUCGUAUGUGUAGUUGUGACUUUGGGAAGGAAUUUGAGGUCCUCCAAGAUAUAAUGUUGGGAAAAUGAA